rnacentral:rRNA from 1 species
GGGCCCGCACAAGCAGUGGAGUAUGUGGUUUAAUUCGAAGCAACGCGAAGAACCUUACCAGGGCUUGACAUCCCUCGAAUAACUAAGAGAUUAGUUAGUCCUACGGGACGAGGAGACAGGUGGUGCAUGGUUGUCGUCAGCUCGUGUCGUGAGAUGUUGGGUUAAGUCCCGCAACGAGCGCAACCCCUGUUGUUAGUUGCCAUCAUUAAGUUGGGCACUCUAGCGAGACUGCCGGUGAUAAAUCGGAGGAAGGUGGGGACGACGUCAAAUCAUCAUGCCCCUUAUGUCCUGGGCUACACACGUACUACAAUGGCCACAACAGAGGGAAGCGAAGCUGUAAAGUGGAGCAAAUCCCCAAAAGUGGUCCCAGUUCGGAUUGUGGGCUGCAACCCGCCCACAUGAAGUCGGAAUUGCUAGUAAUGGCAGGUCAGCAUACUGCCGUGAAUACGUUCCCGGGCCUU